rnacentral:rRNA from 1 species
AGCAGGUUUACGACCUCGAUGUUGGAUCAGGGUAUCCUGGUGGUGCAGCCGCUACUAAGGGCUCGUUUGUUCAACGAUUAAAACCCUACGUGAUCUGAGUUCAGACCGGAGUAAUCCAGGUCGGUUUCUAUCUAUAAUCAAGGCUUCUUCCAGUACGAAAGGACCGAAGCAGCACAGCCAAUGUAAACACAAGCUGUUAUAAUAUCUAUGACUUAUACUCAAUAGUUUAACUAACCCUACUCCCCUAGAAAAGGGGUA